rnacentral:tRNA from 1 species
GCCCUUAUCGUCUAGUGGUCUAGGACAUCUUUUUUUCAGGAAGAAAACGAGGAUUCAAAUUCCUUUGAGGGUA